AAACCUCCGCAGGCUGGCCGGCCUCCAGGCUGGGCUGAGCGAGUAUCUCUUCCAAAAACUCACCCUCAAGCAGGACUAGGAGC
rnacentral:pre_miRNA from 1 species